AGUGAUGCCUAAAGCUGUGGACCGCGUGGGCUCGCCUCCCUGGGACUAGGUUUCAGCGGCCGCUGCGAUGACCAAAAUAAAGGCAGAUCCCGACGGGCCCGAGGCUCAGGCGGAGGCGUGUUCCGGGGAGCGCACCUACCAGGAGCUGCUGGUCAACCAGAACCCCAUCGCGCAGCCCCUGGCUUCUCGCCGCCUCACGCGGAAGCUCUACAAAUGCAUCAAGAAAGCGGUGAAGCAGAAGCAGAUUCGGCGCGGGGUGAAAGAGGUUCAGAAAUUUGUCAACAAAGGAGAAAAAGGGUAAGAACCUUCCUUCCUCUGGAUUUUGCAUUUCUAAACGUUAACGGAGAAAUCUCUACUUAGUAGGCGCGCAGUAAAAAGGUUAACUCUGACCUAGCCCCAUAUACAGAAGCCAAUCAAGCAGUCGGUAAAGUCCCUUUGGUACAAUACCGGUACAACAAUACCGGUGCACCACGUAUACCAGCUCCAAGUGAAUUCCAAAGUGAAGCGAAUUGUGUAAGCUAAGUCCCGUAGAGUAGACCCACCUUCAUUAAUUCAGGGACCCUCCU
rnacentral:sRNA from 1 species